UACGGAGGAUCCAAGCGUUAUCCGGAUUCACUGGGUUUAAAGGGUGCGUAGGUGGAAUGACAAGUCAGUGGCGAAAACCUGCAGCUUAACUGUAGAACUGCCAUUGAUACUGUUAUUCUUGAGUACAUUUGAUGUGAGUGGAAUGUGUCGUGUAGCGGUGAAAUGCUUAGAUAUGACACAGAACACCAAUUGCGAAGGCAGCUCACAAAACUGUAACUGACACUGAGGCACGAAAGCGUGGGGAUCAAACAGG
rnacentral:rRNA from 1 species